rnacentral:lncRNA from 1 species
GCUAGUGUUUGGUUUCAAUCUAAUUAGCUGAUGAUCAAGUUGUUUGUUUCCACUUUUCAGUUUCCGCAUAAUGUAUGAAGUGUUUCCAGGAAAAUACAACUGUUCUGCUGUAUCAUCGAAUUAUAAUGAUUGGCCUACUUAUAUAAUUUUUCUUUGAUUAAACGUUACUGAGAUAUGAAGUACGUCCAUUUUAUGGAUUUUCUUCUUCUUCUUCUUCCUCUAUUAUCGUAAUUCCAC